rnacentral:rRNA from 1 species
AAUGAACGCUGGCGGCAGGCCUAACACAUGCAAGUCGAGCGGAGUGGCGGACGGGCGAGUAAUUCCUAGGAAUCUGCCUUGUAGUGGGGGAUAACGUCCGGAAACGGGCGCUAAUACCGCAUCCUAUCAGAUGAGCCAAGGUCUGAUUAGCUAGUAGGUGGGGUAAAGGCUUACCAAGGAGACGAUCCGUAACUGGUCUGAGAGGUUGAUCAGUCACAGUGGAAAUGGGGACCGGUCCACAGUCCUAACGGAGACGGCAGGGGGGAGUAUUGGACAAUGGGCAAAAGCCUAAUCCAGCAUUGCCGCGUGUGUGAAGCAGGUCGUCGGCUUUUGGAGCACUUUAAGUUGGGAGGCGUUACCUACAGAAGAAGCACCGGCUAACUUCGUGCCAGCAGCCGCGGUAAUAC